rnacentral:misc_RNA from 1 species
UCUGGGCCCGCACCGGCUGCACCUCCUCCCCACACUUCAGCUGCGUCACCGGCGACUGCGGCCCCCGCAUCGCCUGCGCCGGCGCCGGCGGCGCCCCCCCUGCCACCCUCGCCCAGAUCAUCCUCCACCACGGCGACCACGACCAGACCUCCUACGGCGUCAGCCUCGUCGACGGCUACAACGUCGGCAUGACAGUGACACCCCACGACAGCCGGGGGCUUAGAGGCGUCUGUCCCGUCAUCGGCUGCAGAGCCAACUUGCUGAGGAGCUGCCCGGACGUGCUGCAGGUGAGGGCGUCGGUCGGUGGCGGGGCGGCGGUGGUGGCGUGCAAGAGUGGGUGCUUGGCUUAUGACACCGAUGAGCUUUGCUGCCGGAACAAGUAUAACAGUCCGAUGACGUGCAGGGCGUCGGAGUAUUCGAAGUUCUUCAAGCGGGAGUGCCCGGAGAGCUUUACUUAUGCUCAUGAUAGUCCGUCGCUGACCCAUGACUGUGCGGAGCCGCAGGAGUUGAAGGUCAUCUUCUGCCAUGAUCAGCCUGCCCGUUAGGGUUUUAGUUAGGGGAGUAUGGU